UUUUGUGGUCUGGGGUGCUGAAGACAGCUGAGACAUACCCAUGGAACCUGAUGCAGUUAGGACUGCCGUAGGGAGACCAUUUUAGUCAACC
rnacentral:ncRNA from 2 species